UCAUGUUUGUGACAGCCUAUCUGGUAACAGUACAGAUAUCCUAUGCUGCUGCAAGAGGCAGAGCAAGAAUUAACAAGUCUAGUUUCCAGAAGGAAGGUCUCUUGAGGCAAUUUUGUGCCAAUCAGCAGCUUUCAAAAACAAGGUCAUCAUGAAGACUGAGAACAGGUGUCCCAGCCUCUAAGUUCUAGAAGAAGGGACUGCUGGGUCCACACCUUGUCUCCACAUUGCCAUUCUUCAUCCAGAAGUCUCAGCUCUUCUUCCUCAUCUUCUUCCAUAAGGCUGAGUCUAUGGUAGUGACAAAGAGAAGAGGUUUUCAGAUGGUCCUUUCAGCCCCCCAGAGUUUCUUCUCAUAGGCAUGGGGAAGGAGGGCCUGGCAGCAGGAAGGGUAGGACUUAGGGCUAGCACCCACUCCUCAUUCUGGAGGAACAGCCCUUUGCACACUGGGAAGACAUGGUAUGCUGGAAAGAAUGUUCUAGGAUCAAGACAAUCCAAGAAACACUGGCUAAGGUGAGAAGGCAGCAUGGGAGGAAACCUCACCGGGUCAUCUGCUUGCCCAAGCCAGAGCCAGAAGGAUCACAUCGAAUCUGGAAACACGGUGCACUCGACAUUUUCAACCUCUGGGUGCCUGAGAGCUGCUGACUAUUAAGAAUGAAGAAAUGACAGGGGUUAAUAAAAAGCAAAGGGUAAAAAGAGAGAACAGCACAGGAUGUGGAAAAGACAUUGCAAAAGCACCAGAAGUACCCAGAGAUCAGAAGGUACUGCAGUGGGAAGAACAGAAACACCAAGGCUUCCCUUGGCCUCACCUGCAGAUCAGCUCUGGUCCUGGUCCUGGUCCUGGUCCUGGUCCUGGUCCUGGUCCUGGUCCUGGUCCUGGUCCUGGUCCUGGUCCUGGUCCACCUUUUUGCCUCUUGCCUACUGUCCUCGGAGACUGCCUUCUCUUCACUGCUGUGGAGGUGAGUGUAGGUGUUGUGGGGCCACUGUUCAGCUGAAGGCUUUCUCCCUGGGAUGAAGACUCUUCUUCCUGAAGCCUGCGGGGAACUGCAAAGAAGCAGACACACAUAUCAAAUACGUCAGAAACCUGCCAGAGCUACUUUUAUAAACUUGUCUCUUGUUUCUUAAGGGAAAGUUAAACAUAAAAGAAUGAAAAA